AGCAGCCGCGGUAAUUCCAGCUCCAAUAGCGUAUAUUAAAGUUGUUGCAGUUAAAAAGCUCGUAGUUGAAUUUCGGGGUUCUACCGUUGGUCGGGCAAUUGUCUGUACUGGCGUGUGGAAUUUCUACCUUCUGGGGAACCAUCAUGUUAUUAAUUUAGCGUGGUGGGAAACCAGGACCUUUACCUUGAAAAAAUUAGAGUGUCCAAAGCAGGCUCAUGUCUGAAUACAUUAGCAUGGAAUAAUAAAAUAGGACGGUGGUCCUGUUUUGUUGGUUUCUGAAUCACCGUAAUGAUUAAUAGGGAUAGUUGGGGGCAUUAGUAUUCAAUUGUCAGAGGUGAAAUUCUUGGAUUUAUUGAAGACUAACUUCUGCGAAAGCAUUUGCCAAGGAUGUUUUCAUUAAUCAAGAACGAAAGUUAGGGGAUCGAAGACGAUCAGAUACCGUCGUAGUCUUAACCAUAGACUAUGCCGACUAGGGAUCGGACGAUGUUAAUUUUUCUUGUACUCG
rnacentral:rRNA from 1 species